AGGUGCUUGAGCUGGGGAGGUCAAGGAAGCAGGACUGUUUGAGGCCAGGAGCCAGAGACCAGCCUGGGCAACAUAACGAGACCUAACCUCUGUAAAAAAUAAAAAAUUAGCCAGGUGUGCUGGUGGGCAAUUGUAGUCUUAGCUACUUGAGAGGCGGAGGUGCUUGAGCUGGGGAGGUCAAGGCUGCAGUAAGCCAUCAUCGCACCACUGCUCUAGGCUGGGUCACAGAGCAAGAUACUGUCUCAAAAAAAAAAAAAAUUGUUGUAUCUCAUACAUCAGCCUUCUAUGGAAAACAUAAUCCUGUUACAUUUAUUUGCCUUUUGCCUAUACAAGUGUUAGGGAAGCAGGUGCCUAGGGGAGCCAGAGUAACACCAAUUUAAGUUCAGCUCCAUCUUGACACUAACAAGAAACACUCCUUGUCAGUCACAACCCAUGAUCACAAAAUGUUUCCCAUGAAGAAAACAGCCUGAAGAUGCCUGCAAGUAUCCUUACACUCCCACAACAAUAGAAUGUCCUGAUGUCCCAAUACCUAUAACAAUAUGUGCUUUCAAGAUAAUUAUAGUUAUGUUUUAAUGCACUUGGGUGCUAAAAUGUAAAGGAUAGUUUUCUUUAAAUCAACAGAGUAAUAAAUUUUGUGAUGCUGUCAGCCCACAUGCACAUAGGCACAGGUAGUUUAUUCUUUACAUAGAAAAGAUCCCUACAUAAGAAAAACUUAAAGACAGUACGUUCCUCCACUUGCUGUAUGAGGAUGCCCUACUCUGAAACAGAGAAGCUUUUUCUUUCUUUUUCCUUUUCUAUUUAUUUAUUUAUUUAUUUAUUUAUUUAUUUAUUUAUUUAAAUAGAGACAGGGUCUCGCUGUGUUGGCCAGGUUGGUCUUGACCUCUUUCCUGUUUGUUUUGGUUUUUGAGAUGGGGUCUCACUCUGUUACCCACACUGGAGUGCAGUGGUACAUCCUCGGCUGGGCUGCAACCUCUGCCUCUGGGGUUCAAGUGAUUCUCUCACAUCAGCCUCCUGAACACCUGGGACUACAGGUGCAGGCCACCACACCCGGCUAAUUUUUGCUAGUUUUGGAAGAGAUGGGGUUUCACUAUGUUGCCCAGGCUGGUCUCGAACUCCUGACCUCAAGUUAUCCUCCCACCUUGGCCUCCCAAAGUGCUUGGAUUACAGGCCUAAGCCAUCAUGCUGGCCCAGAGUAGCUUUCAAUAAACUCUCUUCUCACUGCACUUUGUGACUCGUCUUGAAUUCCUUCCUGUGUGAGAUUCAAGAACUCUCCUGGGGUCUGAUCAGGACCUCUUUUCCUGGUAAUACAAGCAAGAACUUAACUUCCAGUUUUGGAGUACUGAGUCUAUUUCCCUAGAGUCUGUGUUUUUCCCAAAUGGGCCACUGCUAUCCUUCCGCUUGAAUAAACUCUUCCAACUGAAAUCUUGACCUUUCUAUUAUUUCGGAGUGACAAGUCCAAAUAAGGCAACUGCAUCUCUGCAACCAAUCAAGCAUUUAUCUGGUUUGUCUCCUCACGUAACUUAUAAAAGCUUACCCCUAAACUGGUAAACUAAAAAUAAAAACAUACCUCUGGCCCGGCGAGAUGGCUCACAUCUGUAAUCCCAGCACUUUGGGAGGCUGAGGUGGGUGGAUCACUUGAGGUCAGGAGUUCGAGACCAGCCUGGCCAACAUGGUGAAACCCCAUCUCUACUAAAAAUACAAAAAUUAGGAGGGCAUAGUGGUGCAUGCCUGCAAUCCCAGCUACUCAGGAGGCUGAGGCAGGAGAAUCACUUGAACCCGGAAGGUGGAGGUUGCAGUGAGCCGAGAUCAGGCCAUUGCACUCCAGUCUGGGCGACAGGAGACUCCGUCUCAAAUAAAAACAAAGUACCUUUCCAGCUAAGUGAAGUGACCGGCUCUUGGCCAACAGGACCCGCAAAAAACCCUGAAAAUUGAGUGCCUCUGUAUGACAGGAUGGGAGGUGAGACAGGUCUCCUUAUACCCUCUCCCACACAUUCAUGUAAAAAUAGAUAGAAUGGAAAAACAGACUGCUUGUGGCAAGAAGAUACUAACUUACAAACAAAACCUAAGGCCACGCAAGGCAAAAGUAAAGUCACGCCUCAGAAUUCAUAAAAUCUAGAGAAACAGGUCUGUUUUCUGGCUGGGAUGGAAUCAAGUGGCAGAUAACAGACCCCCUUCCUUCCUACCUCCUCCAAACUUUAGACAAACUUCACACUCUCAACCAGCUGCCACCUACAGAAUCCCUCAACCACCUGUGCCUUCUAACCCCCCUUCCACAGGUCCCACCCUUUCUGCCAAUGGAACUUACACCUUUCAGGCACUGAUUCAUCAUUUUCCCUGCAAUUCCUGUCUCUCUGAAAUGAAUAAAACCAAACUGUCUUGAGCCGCCUCGGGACCACUUACUCCAGGCUGCUUGGGGUUGUGUUUCCCUCGGCCAAGGUCUCUCCUAUUCGGCUCUGAAUAAACUUCUUUAUUUUACAUAGUUUGGCUUUUUCCGUUGACAAACCACAACCCAGGACGGGGUGUUUCUCAUUCGUGAAUCGCUGUUUGCUCAAAUGAACUCUUUAAUUGUUAACGUACCUCAGUUUAAUUUUUAACAGGAGAAAGUGGGGACUGGGGGCCCCACAGACCACUGCUCCUCCCACGCACGAACCCCACACCCGAGUCAGGAUGCCUCCAUGACCCUCCCGUUGCUUCCGCACAAUCUGGGGAGACGCGGGGCUGCGGGAGCGGAACUGCCCAGAGAGGGCUCCGGGGCAGGGGCCGCGGCCGCAGUCGCCGCGCAGGGACGGGACAGGACGCCCGGGUCCUGGCUGCUGGCCCAGCCCCGUCCAGCGGCCAAGGGGACCGAGGGCCGAACUGCUCAAGGAGGACUCGGUCCCAGACCCCGGAGUCGCCCACAGGGAGGCCCGGGUCCCGCCACAGCCGGUUCCCGCCUGUUCCAGGCAGCCCCUCCCCCGUCUCACGACAUCUGGUCCCGCACACGCACCAUUUCCCGGCUUUCAGAUGUACCGGGGUCCUCUCUACAGCUCCUGUGACUACAGCAGGGCAUAGCGCAGGCGACAGAGCGACAGAAGCCUGGGUACAGGCACCAGGUCCCUCUCGGGCU
rnacentral:lncRNA from 1 species